rnacentral:rRNA from 1 species
GACAGAGGCCUCGAGCGUUAGGCGGAAUUACUGGGCGUAAAGCGCGUGUAGGCGGCUAAGUAAGUCGGGCGUGAAAUCCCACGGCUCAACCGUGGAAGUGCACUCGAGACUGCAUAGCUAGAGUCCUGGAGAGGAAGGUGGAAUGCUUGGUGUAGAGGUGAAAUUCGUAGAUAUCAAGCGGAACACCGGUGGCGAAGGCGGCCUUCUGGACCAGUGACUGACGCUGAGA